rnacentral:rRNA from 1 species
CAGAACGAACGCUGGCGGCGCGUUUUAAGCAUGCAAGUCGCAGGGUAAAAUUUAGCAAUAGAAUUGAGACUGGCGAACGGGUGAGUAACACGUGAAAAUCUACCUUGAGAUGGGGGAUAGCCGGUAGAAAUAUCGGGUAAUACCGCAUAUGCCGAGAGGUGAAAGGGGCAACUGCUCCGUCUUGAGAUGAGUUUGCGUCUGAUUAGAUAGUUGGCGAGGUAAAGGCUCACCAAGUCUACGAUCAGUAGCCGGCCUGAGAGGGUGAUCGGCCACAUUGGGACUGAGACACGGCCCAGACUCCUACGGGAGGCAGCAGCUAAGAAUAUUCCGCAAUGGGAGAAAUCCUGACGGAGCGACGCCGCGUGAAAACCGAUUGAAGGCAGAAAUGUUGUAAAGUUCUUUUCGGGAGGGGGAACAACCGUGGCAGGGAAUGGCCGCGGGAUGACGUGAAUCCCGGAAUAAGCCCCGGCUAACUACGUGCCAGCAGCAGC